GGCACAGAGGUUUAGUGGUUAGUACAUUUGACUCACACCUCCAGGGUUGAGGGUUCGAUUCCCACCUCUACCC